rnacentral:rRNA from 1 species
GAUGAACGCUGGCGGCGUGCCUAACACAUGCAAGUCGAGCGAUCUUCUUCGGAAGAGAGCGGCGGACGGGUGAGUAACGCGUGGGUAACCUGCCCUGUACACACGGAUAACAUACCGAAAGGUAUGCUAAUACGGGAUAACAUAAGAAAGUCGCAUGGCUUUCUUAUCAAAGCUUUUGCGGUACAGGAUGGACCCGCGUCUGAUUAGCUAGUUGGUAAGGUAACGGCUUACCAAGGCGACGAUCAGUAGCCGACCUGAGAGGGUGAUCGGCCACAUUGGAACUGAGACACGGUCCAAACUCCUACGGGAGGCAGCAGUGGGGAAUAUUGCACAAUGGGCGAAAGCCUGAUGCAGCAACGCCGCGUGAGCGAUGAAGGCCUUCGGGUCGUAAAGCUCUGUCCUCAAGGAAGAUAAUGACGGUACUUGAGGAGGAAGCCCCGGCUAACUACGUGCCAGCAGCCGCGGUAAUACGUAGGGGGCUAGCGUUAUCCGGAAUUACUGGGCGUAAAGGGUGCGUAGGCGGUCUUUCAAGUCAGAAGUGAAAGGCUACGGCUCAACCGUAGUAAGCUUUUGAAACUGUAAGACUUGAGUGCAGGAGAGGAGAGUGGAAUUCCUAGUGUAGCGGUGAAAUGCGUAGAUAUUAGGAGGAACACCAGUUGCGAAGGCGGCUCUCUGGACUG